rnacentral:rRNA from 1 species
UACGAAGGGAGCUAGCGUUGUUCGGAAUCACUGGGCGUAAAGCGCACGUAGGCGGAUGUGUCAGUCAGGGGUGAAAUCCCGGAGCUCAACUUCGGAACUGCCUUUGAUACAGCACGUCUUGAGUCCGAUAGAGGUGGGUGGAAUUCCUAGUGUAGAGGUGAAAUUCGUAAAUAUUAGGAAGAACACCGGUGGCGAAGGCGGCCCACUGGAUCGGUACUGACGCUGAGGUGCGAAAGCGUGGGGAGCAAACAGG